GUGUCUCAUUUAAAGUCUUAAUAACAGGCA
rnacentral:piRNA from 1 species